AAAAAACAUUAAAGUAGAUAGACUGAUUUCCUUUAAAAAUAUAUGUUAAAAUGUGGUUCAACCUGUGCCUUUGAAAGGGCAAAUAUCACCAAUUUUAGAUCAUUACUUGUAGUUAAUUCAAGAAUCAACUCCUGAACUUUAGCUACGGAGCUAAAAUAUGUAAAAUAUAUAACAAAACCCUGCUGUUGGAAAAAAUGUAAAAUAAUUACUCCCCUUAGUAAGUAAUAAACGAGGAAUAUGGAAAUAUGCAAGAUUUAUUUCUCGGGGAUAAUAUAAGAUGACCAGAGGAGCUACUAUAAAAUUUUAUUUACAAAUUUUUCAUGAAAACAAUGUAUGAAUGUGUGAACAAGAAUAAUAACGAAACUUGACACAGAA